AGGCAGUAGUCCUCGGAGGCCCGGCAGUAGAUCUUGAAGAUCUGGUUGGGGCCGGACGCCGCCGGCGCCUGGUCCUUGUGGUGGUGCCCGAACCCGAACAUCUUGGCGGCGAGGAGAGCGUGUCUGAUCGGCUAGACUGGUUGGAGCUGUGCGAGUGAGGAGAGAGCGCUGCCCGAUGGCGCCAUUAUAUAGAGCCGAGAGCAGAGCAGAGCAGACCAGAGUCACCACUCACGCGCUGUAGAUAGUAAAAUCUUGAAAAUCUUUGGACCAUAUCUCCAGCGGCCUGGAAUAAAUGGCGGAAAGUAAUUGUAGGAUACGCUCGCUCGAUCGCUGCCAGUACAGUACAGUACAUCACAGCACUAGCCGUUUGGCCAAGAUUUUGGUUGCAUUAGCAAGAUUUUGGUCCGAUUAACAGCAGUGGCCGGUUGAUGCCAGUACCAAGUUUUGGUUCGAUUCAGCACUCAACAUUAGCUGUAUCCAUGCAAAUAUGCAAUGGCCAAAAAUGCCAGCAGCAUACCAUAUAAUUUUUUCUGUGUAUUACUAGUAGUUGAUCAUCCUUAGAGGCUAAGUAUCCUACUGUACUAAUUAAAGACUACAUAUUUGACUCUGCUCUUGGAUUUAUCUUGGUCCUGCAGCAGUAGCACUCCAGCAUCAGGCUUCGGCUCACACUUGGCAUUGCCUUGCAACAUACUAGCCGUUUGGUGUGAAUGUACUGGAAGGUUCUGGUUCGAUUCACCUACCCCCAGUGUUUUCCUCGGCAUUAACUUUGCAUUAGCUGUAUGCAUGCAAAUACGCAAUGCCAGCACGCCGGCGGUGUGAAUUGGAUUAUGGAGUACGGUUAGUGUUCUUGUAUUUUGUAGUCCAUCCAUUGACUCAUCCUAGCAGUGUUCUCUUCUAGCAAACUCAUCCUUAGAGGUUAAGCAUCUCUAUAAGUAAAGACUAGAUAUUUUACAGUUUUUUGAAUUAUUUUGUCCAUUUAUUUACUAACUAUUUGUAGUGUUUAAGGUGCUACCGUCUAAGGCUGCCUUGCCUUCUCGGUUGUCGUCGGCCCAAGUAGGCCGCCCUGAGGCCCUUUGGAUCGGUUCCGCAAUGGGCCAUCGGUUCGGUCCAUGGGCCUUUCCUCCACCGAUGUAGCCGACUAGGUUGUGUAACUCGUGGGGUCCGGAUGUUAUAUAAGUCGGGGUUGAGCUAGUCGAUAGGUCAUUAUAUAAUCAUGCCGUUUAUACCUUUAUACAUGCAAUCAUAGUAUGCACAUAGUAGGAAUAGAGUUCUACCUCUUUCAGAGGGGCCGAACCUAAGUAAAUCGCCUCAUGUUUUCCCUCUGCCCCAAUCGUCAUGUCCGGAUACCCUAUUGAGGGAUCUGUCGGAUUUAGCUCUCACAGUCUUUGUUCUUGAAAGAACAAAUGCCAUAUAUAAUAAGUUUUACAGAUGCUUACAAGAUUACCAUUACAAAAACCGGAAGAUACAUCAAAAUUCCUGGGGUGCCAAAAUACUACUUCUCCUGCAUCGACACACGUCGUGCUGUGAGGAAAACCCGUUAUCGUGUAUGCUACCAUUCCUUAAAACUCGGGAGUUUGUAGAAGCGAUGAUUUGGAAGCCGUUGAUGUAGACUAGUAGAUGACGAUGACCGCAAUGUAUGUAGCAGAUCACUUCUCCCUAGAAGAAAACACCGGAGAGGGCAUGUAUAUCACCCUAGGUCCGGCGAGAUGGAUUCUAGAAACACAAAACUCUUACACGCUCCACCACAAGAGUGAAGUUUGUGAAUCUUUCUCUGUGAGAACUAGAGCGAGAGAAUCAAGACACAGUCCUGCCAUCUAAGACAAACAUGCAGAAGAAAAGCCCCAACCUCCCUCCGAUAACAUCUCCACUUUCUUGGCUUGCUACAACACGUCACCAUCACUAUUGGCCCGGUUCCAUCACCGUCAACAUCGUGGACCUUCGCCAAGAUGAUGCCCCCUUCUUCACCUCCUUCCUUUACCGUCGUCGGCACUCCUUCUUCGAUUUUUGUCCAUCUAUGCUCACCCCUCGACAUUUCGAGCACACCUACGUGUUCUUGGUGAGAAACUAGACCCCUGCACCCCUCGAUAGGCUCCUGCAUCAUUUGAUUUGGCAUGGGCCCAAGGCACCUCCGCCACGGCAUGGUCGUCGGCUGGUCUCUAGUGACCCUUUGCUCCCGCCCGUUGUGUCGCUGCACACGCACCGUCGCGUGGGUCGUUUUUGCCGAACUUGUUGAUUCGCCCUUCCCUCUGAUACAACCCCAAAAUCUGGUUUCUAAUCCCUACAAGACAUUGCAAUCUUGCGUCGUCUAGAAGCACAUUUCCAGCAUAUGAUUGUGACACCACGAGAGGGUUAUAUACCAGUAACAAGGUGAAAAUCACGACAAAUACAACUACGAACAUAAGAGUAAUACGAUAUAUGUUAGGCAUACAUAUGUCGAUAGAUAAAUAUUCCACCAAACAUAGGCAACAUGACCCAACAUUGCAUGAAUCAUACAAGCAAGAAGGCACGAGUCCGAGUACAUACAAGAAGGAAAUAUGCCUAAGGGGCCAAAGAAAUAAGCAACAUCCACCUUGCUAAUCCGAGGCUAGUGAUGUCUACUACGCAACAUUCUCCUUGUAGACGUUGUUGGGCCUCCAAGUGCAGAGGUUUGUAGGACAGUAGCAAUUUUCUCUCAAGUGGGUGACCUAAGGUUUAUCAAUCCGCGGGAGGCGUAGGAUGAAGAUGAUCUCUCUCAAGCACCCUGCAACCAAAUAACAAAGAGUCUCUUGUGUCCCAAACACACCCAAUACAAUGGUCAGUUGUAUAGGUGCACUAGUUCGGCGAAGAGAUGGUGAAAUAAGUGCAAUAUGGAUGGUAGAUAUAGGUUUUUGUAAUCUGAAAUUACAAAAACAACAAGGAAACAAAUGGUAAAAGUGAGCACGAACGGUAUUGCAAUGCGUGGAAACAAGGCCUAGGGUUCAUACUUUCACUAGUGAAGUUCUCUCAAAAAAGAUAACAUAAUUGGAUCAUAUAACUAGCCCUCAACAUGCAACAAAGAGUCACUCCAAAGUCACUAAUAGCGGAGAACAAACGAAGAAAUUAUUGUCGGAUACGAAACCACCAUAAAGUUAUUCUUUCUGAUCGAUCUAUUUAAGAGUUCGUACUAGAAUAACACCUUAAGAUACAUAUCAACCAAGACCCUAAUGUCACGUAGAUACUCCAUUGUCACCUCAAGUAUCCGUGGGCAUGAUUAUACGAUAUGCAUCACAGAAUCUCAGAAUCAUCUAUUCAACCAACACAUAGGACUUCAAAGAGUGCCCCGAAGUUUCUACCGGAGAGUCAAAACGUGUGCCAACCCCUAUGCAUAGGUUCUCAAUGUCACGAACCCGCAAGUUGAUCACCAAAACAUACAUCGAGUACUCACAUGAAUCCACGUGUGCCAACCCAUACAUAGGUUCCCAAUUGUCACAAACCCGCAAGUUGAUCACAGCAGAUAGACACGUGCAAGAUAUACAUCAAGUGUUCUCAAAGACUCAAUCCGAUAAGAUAACUUCAAAGGGGAAACUCAAUUCAUUACAAGAAGGGAGAGGGGGAAGAACAUCAUAAGAUCCAACUAUAGUAGCAAAGCCCACGGUACAUCGAGAUCAAGACAUCUCAAGAACACGAGAGAGAGAGAUCAAACACAUAGCUACUGGUACAUACCCUCAGCCCCGAGGGAGAACUACUCCCUCCUCGUCAUGGAGAUCGUCGGGAUGAUGAAGAUGGCCACCGGAGAUAGAUUCCCCCUCCGGCAGGGUGCCGGAACGGUCUCCAGAUUGGUUUUUGGUGGCUACACAGGCUUGCGGCGGCGGAACUUCCGAUCUAGGUUUCUUUCUGGAGGUUUCCGUAUUUAUAAGACUAGAUGGCGUCGAGAACAAGUCAGGGGGACCCACGAGGGAGUCACACGCCCUUGGGGCGCGGCCAGGGGGGUGGGGGCGCCCCCAGGCUUGUGGCUUCCUCGGGACUCUUCUCCGGUAUAUUUUUCUUCUGGUAUUUUUGAUAUUUUCCAGAAAAAAUCUUUUCGGGGAUUUUCUUCCUUUUGGACUCCGUUUCAAAAUCUCCUCUGAAAGGGGUCAAAAAUAUGGAAAAAGCAGGAACUGGCACUUGGCACUGAGUUAAUAAGUUAGUCCCUAAAAAUAUAUAAAAGGCAUGCAAAACAUCCAAAGUUUGACAAGAUAAUAGCAUGGAACCAUCAAAAAUUAUAGAUACGUUGAAGACGUAUCAACUAGCAAGUUGGAUGAUAUGCUAAUGAUCGUCAUCGAAGAGCAACGCCAAAUAUAGUGUAUCAUGCUCUCACCUUGGAGCAAUGCUUUACUUGUAAUUGCACUUGUGCGUGUUGUAGUAUCUGUGGGCCUUUAGGACUUCACAAGUCUCGUUACCAAGGGUAUCACACGAAAACUACUUAAUGGGUUGGGAUGGUUAAGUUGUGAUGUUGCAACAAGCACUAGUCCGAUGAGUACUAGAACAAGAUAAGAUAAGAUAAAUCCUACCCAUAAGGGGGUGGCAAUUAGAUAAUCAAUAAGUUACCCUAAACACUAUGUACAAAUUUUGCUUGCAUUCCCACAAGAAGUGAUUGUCGUGGUACACACACGGUUUGUAAGUUUUAGUUAUUAGUUGAAGUUCUCUACAACUGGAUAUUGUAAUUUUUGAAGUCAUGUGUAACCGUGGGCAUGGCUUUUCAAAAGAUUUAACCCUGUAUGGGUCCUACUAAUUCCUCCAUGGUAGAUUUCCGCGCGCAUACCCGUUCCUCCAAGUCCAUGGCCCAUGGGAACCCUCGUGCAAAGCAUGAUGUGUUUCAGGAAUUUUGGAGCAACAAAUCCUCGAUCUAAUGUAGAACUAGCAGCUAGAGAGGCCUCCCGAUGAGUCUUAUUGGGCUAUGAGCCGCACACACUGUAUCCUCAGACCCAUUCGUCUAUGCCAAGUGGAUAGUGAACCAAAACCUCGAGUUUUUCCAUGGUGGAACCUCACUUCUAGGUAGGGGCCAACGCUUUUUCGAGCACCCGCCUAAGUUAUUUCAAAAGUACCUUGAGGGGUGACCCUCUAUGCGACUUUUAUGUUGGAUAAUGUUAACAAAAAUGUUGCACCUCUCUGGAAAAGUUUAGUGCUAGAUAAAGAGGUCAAGGGGAGCCUCAUAAUCCCCACACAUAUUAUGAGCGCUCGUAGAAAACAUAAAACUAGGGUUACGAAACUAAGAGAACAACAGUGAAACAAAUCACCGGGGCAUAGGUAUGAGAUUUCCAUCCUUUACCAAGUGUAUAGUCAAGAUUAGUUAAAUAAGCAAGAUAUGAUAUCUCAGGAUGUCCAUAUCUCAACAUGGAACAACCUGCACCUACAAGUAGCAAAUCUAUAAAAGGAGCCGAGCAAGCGGUAGCAUGGCAAUCUAUGGUUUGCUAGGAUAGUGAAGGUUAUGGGCUAUAUCAUGGCAAAUGUUAGGCUUGCAAACAAGUGGUAGGUAGCGAGACCGGACAAUAGCAUCGUGACAUCUAGCAAGCAAAGUUAGUAAUCAUAUCCAAGAUAAUGAUCAUUCUUGUGUGAGAUUCCACUUUGAAGAUCGAAACCACAAAGUGUAGUCGAACAAAAUCCUUGUACUUCGUAUCGUUAUCGGGAGCUAACGAGAAGAAGAAGAACCGGAAAGAAGCAAACGGUAUGAUAAACAAACAUAUCAUGGCAUAAUGACAAUCAGCAUGAAUCAUGACAAGUUUAAUGAUUUUACAUGGCAACCUAUAACUAGAAAAGUUAAAGAAAGCCUUGAUCCAUGUGUGGUAUGAAUCAAAUGAAACUCCAUAUGCAUUUUCUUUUCUUUUUUGAGCAAGUUAAACUCCGAGAUCAUGUCCCUUUUGCAUUUUAGUCACUAUUAUUUGGUUAACUCGCAAGUUCUUGAUACUUGCGUAAAAUUUGACAAAUGAUAUAUAUAUGUUUUUCGACUAGAGUUUCGCAAGCUGGUCGUACCAUCAUUCACACGCCUCACAACGAUGUCAAGAAACACCAUUGCAACGUGGAGGGAGUGGGGAUGAUUUUAUGCCGACAGCGACACCAUCGCCUCACCUUGACGAGUGGAGACCAAAAUAAAAAUUUGAAAGCCCACCAUAGCAUCGCGUGUCUCACAAAGUGAGAGCAGACUCAUGAUCGCAAGGGAGGAGGCAGAUUGGCGCUAUUGUCCUGGCUCAUAGAAUUUCACCCGAAGUGGAGGGGGAGGAAAACGCUUCAUAGCGCGAGGUGGGAUUGAUGAGUAGCCAUAUACUCGCUCCAUUUCAUUAUAUAAGGCCACACACUCAGAUUACAGGUACCAAGGUAAAAUUCAAUGACUGCAUCGUGAGCCUACUUUUUGUUUUGUUAACCGAGAUCAUUAAUACAACACAUGGAUACAAAGAAAAAAAUGAGAAGAAAGUAGUUAAGUAUUUUUUUUUAACGAAGACAAAAGAUUACCUCAUCUAUUAGUUAAGCGGAAGAGAAUUGCCCUACAUGUAUGCGAACUUUAAACAAGUUGCUAAUAUGAGGAAAUAUUGUUAAUUUUUUCCUCGGUUACUCUUGAUGGUUUUAUGUAGAUGUAAAAUGGUUUCUUUUAUAAUGACCUUGUAUAAAGAAACAGAGGAAACAAUAUUUUUGAAACGAAAAUAUGCACGCCGUAUUUCAGAAUCGAGAAAGAAAACUGCAAAAGCAAAGCAUCUUCUAGCGACGAACGGCCUUGCUCGGAAGCGUGCACCCGACGCUGCGUGAUUCCCCCCCACAAAACAAGGUGGGAUUCCCAGUUCGGAUGCCCCCAUGCCUGCGGUCGCUCGCUCUUGUAGUCUUCCUCAGCUCCGGUACACGGCGCUUUGCUUUGCUUUGAUCAUGGCGGGAUGCUUCUUUUCCGUUCGGUGAUGUGUCGACUCGCGAAUCUCGAUCGAUCGACGUGCCCCCCACUUGCGUGGACCAAGCUAUCAUGGAGAUGGCAAGCGGAACCCGAAAGAAGUUCACAUGCCCAAGGCGACGGUCGAGCCAGGCCAUUCAUUUUUCUGACAGAAACCACCGCACGGGACAUGUUGUUAGCAAGCUCAAACUUCACGUAGAAUUCUCUGGCAGAAACAAUGGCGUUUGCACUGAUCAUGCAUAUAUCCCCGCGUACAAGGCUGCACCUGUUGUAUUUUUACUCCAACCGUGUGAUGUGAACCCAUAUUUGUUUUGCUAAAAAACAGUUGAUCGAGACUUCAGGAAGCCUCAAUCCAUACUAUAAUCCGUUGAUUUUACAUUAAGAUUCGUGUAGAUAAAUUUUUUUUCUUGCAUACUAUACUACUUUGAGACUUCACGAAGUUUCAUUUGACUGAGACCUAGACACACCUAUUUACAUUGAGAUUUAUUAACUGCUCAACUCCCUGGGGUUCUCGAAACAUGGAGGACGUGCAACGCAAAAGUGUCCACAUAGAUCAACGUUCGGCUGGCGCAGGUGAGGUAGGUGAACCUGCCGGUGCACUAUCAAGUUUACGAGGCAAGCUCUUGUCUUGGUGCGAGUAAAACGGGAGGCGAACUGGACGGACGGCCACUGCUCGCCUCGCUUGCGUGGCCAUGUGUGCGCUGCCCUGCUAUUGUUGGGAAACAGUACAGUACAGCUUGAUUUUGGGGUCAGGGAAGCGUACAACUCAUGUGAGGUUUAGCCUGUCGUGUCGAUCUUGUUUGUUUCGAGGGCUUUGGCUAUUUGCUAGUAGGAAGUAGUACGGGACUUGGUGAAGUGAACCAACCACUUCUUUGACCGAUUUUAAAGUGCUGCGUACUCUUGUAAUCUGUUGGCGGGGCUUGGCUGGUGUGAUGGAGCUCGCCUGCCAAUAUGUGCACAUCCACCCGUGGAAGGAUCAGUUGAGAACGUGUCCGUGUGUCCGCGUCACGACAGCGACAAGGCAUCGACGCCGUGGGCCGGCCAAGAUCAGUUUCUUGACGCCGACAGUAAAUAAAAAGUAAAUAAAACACGGUUUACGAUAACACGUACACUCUCUCUCGUGACCGGUGGAAGUAAGAGGAUAACUUCUUUCAAUGAACUGUUUCCAUGAACUGGUCAAACGGGACCGGCCCGGAAGCACGCCAGCUCGGCACGGUAUGGGUUAAUCAGACCGUCUCAGGCACGCAGCCCGUCUCGGGCCUGAGGGCUGGGUACGCGGGCCGGCACGGCAUGACCCGUUUAUCAUAUUUACUAUUUAUUCCCCCCCCCCAUAUAUAUACAUAAUAAAUAAAAUAACCUAAUAAAUCAAAAUCGGUUCAAAACACAGUUCAAUAUGUUGGUCCAAAAAACAGCCAAACAUGUCAAAAUCAGCCCAAAUAACAGCCUAAAAUAAAAAAGAAAACUAAUAGGCUAGCGGGUCUGGCGUGCCACGGACCGGUCCGUAUAGCCUCCUUGUCGUGCCUGGACCGGGAGGCUGCGCACGUGGGCGGCACAACACGGCCCAGCUAAUAUUCGUGCCCGGGCGGGCCAUGUCGUGCCAAACCCGUUUAUGGGGCCGUGCCGGGCCGGCCCGUUUGACCAGGACUGAAUUGGUCCUUUGGGCAACACACACAUGCGCGCGCGCGCGCACACACACACAAUGGUUCUUUUUUUUAAGAAAACUUGCCACUUUAUUUAUCGCAUUUAAAAUGUCAGGUACAUGAACGAAAUUGGGUGUGGCAAUAAAAAAAUGGUUCUUUGUUUUAUGCAUGGUGUUUGACACUAGUUGGGCAGGUUCCUAAGAUUGUCGAUGUCCAAAUUUAUAACUGCCCAGUUUGAUCCAGCAAAAUCUAUGACUUAUAAUUCUGAAAAAUAGACAAAAUUUACCCUAAGAAAAUACUCUUCGUUCCUAAAUAUAAGACCUUUUAAAAAUUUCGCUUUCAACUACAUUCGAUGUAAAAUGAGUGAAUCUAUACUCUAAAAUAUGUCUACAUACAUCCGUAUUUAGUUCAUAGUGAAAUAUCAAAAAUGUCUUAUAUUUUAAAACGAAGGGAGUAAUUGUUACAGAGUUUUUGUUGAAAACCCCUCACAUAUGUUAAUCAAUUAAAAUAUUCAUACAAUCAUCCAUUACAUCUUUCUCCACACAAGGCGGAUCAUACCUAUUCACAAAACUAAACUUGGCAAUCAAGUGUGCCAUCCUAUUGCCCUUUCUUUUAAUCUUGGACAUCUUGAACUCUGUCAACAUUUUAGAGACACCCAACGCUUCUUUCUUUAGAACAACAAAGGGAGACAUGUCACACAAAUAUCUUUUGGAGGCCUAGCUUCAUGGAGGCCUUCAAAUGCGAAAUUUAAAUUUCACGAAAAUUCAUAUUUUACAUGUUAUUUUUUAUAAAAAAAAUACAUAAAUAGAUGAAAGUAUAAUGCAUAAGUGUGUACAUUUUUAGGACUAAAUACGUUGAAAUGAGGGCUGUGCAAAAAAGACAAUUCUGAGACUUUUAAACAAAUGAUACUAUUCAUCAUUUUAGACCAUGGAAUUGUCUUUCUUUGUAUAGGUUGUGUUUCAAAGUAUUUCAACCUAGAAUUUUACACACAUGCGGCUCACAUCCUCGUUUAGUUAUACAAUUAUUUUUACAUUUUUUUGAAAUCAAUUUUUUCUAAUUUUGAAUUUUUGAAAAAUUCGGCCUCCAUGGAGGCCAAGAGCCAAAACGCCAUUCUCGACAUGUCAAGAUUAUCAUUUCCAAGCAAUAGAACCACAAAAGAACAACCAGUUUUCAAAAUGGUAGUUGUGCAGAGUGAUACCGAUAUAAAGAACAACGAGGAUCACUCUAAGUUUCACUUCAUCCGCACUAUUGCAAGCCUCAAUAUAAUCCGAGGAGAAAAUGAUAACUUCUGCAGUUUUGUUUCGGGAAACUCCCCCCCCCCCUUGUCGUGCUAAUGACCUUCAGAAAACUUGCAUCGACACUAAUCAGGAACUCCGAAGCGUGAGGCUGCCAAGAAAGAAAAAAUUCCUCUCCACAUUACUGGUGGAUUUCACUGCAUCUUUACAUUUGUUGCUGACCUUCACCUGCUUAUUGGUAUGAAACGACGAAAAAGACGCCCAAUAAUUUUGCAUAAAGCUCACAGAGGUAGAGACAACUUCCUUUCCCUUACCAUAGGUCAAAUCAUUUCUCAAAUGCCAUGAUCUUCAAAAGAUGAAUAUAAUUGACUCACACAAAUGCAACCCUAAUUGAUCCAUCAAAAUAAAUAACAAAUAUGAACCAUAAAAUUCAAAGAUCUCUUCACUCGGUAAAUUCCAAACCUCCUUCAAACUCCAUAAAAGUGCACAAGCCUUGGGACAUCUUAGCGAGCAUGAAAAACACAUUCAUCUUCAACACACCUGGAAAUUGAGCACAAGCCAUGAAUAGCUUGAUGAUGUUUUACUCUGUUAACUUGAUCCGCCAAACUAUUAGAAGUAGCAUACCAUGCAAAUAUUUUGAUUUUCCUAGAAACAUAAGCCUUACAAAUAAUAUUCGAGAGCCUUCUUUCCCAUUCAAAACAACAAUGGAGCUCCCUAACUACUUUAUUGUCCUUGAGAUUUAGUGCCAACCUAUACGUACUCUUUAUCAAGAAUAACCCUUUUUUCGUAGUGCCAAGCAAUAAAAUCUUCAUCUCCCAAAGUCAGAAUGAGCAACUUUAAAAUUUCCUCGACAUCAUGGGGGGUAAACAUAUGUAUGAUCGGAUUCUCACCACAUCUUCUUGAACCACUCAUGAAUAACUCAGACAUCCAUUUGAGCCUCUUCUUAGCAAACAAAAUUAGCCGGAGUCUCUAGGAAGCAAAUUAUCCCUCCAUAUGUGUAUACUAGCACCAUUGGAAACUCUCCAUAUAACACCCUUUUUCAACAGCUCGGGACCAUGCAUAAUAACUUGCGAAAUAACCGACACCUCUUGAGGGACGACAAUAUCAAUAAGAUAUCCAUGGGGUUAAUAUUUUUCUUUAAUCACCUUUGAACAUAAUCCAAAAAAAACCAAUAAUCAUCAAGCUUGUUUCACCAGAAGCACAUGAUUACAUAGUCUAAUAUCUCGAAACCCUAUAGCUCCCGCACCUUUGGGUCUUGCCAUCUUGUCGUACGCAAGCCAAUAAGUUUUUCUCCUAUUCUCCUCAUCACCCAUCAAUUUUUUUGAUGAUCUAGGAUAAUUAUUCACAAAUCCAUGCAUAACAUUUAAAGAUGCCCAUGGCAUAGGCCGGUAGCGCCUGAAUGACCGACUUAAUCUGGAUUUCCUUCAUCCCACUAGAAGCAUAUUAUUCAAUCUAGUCCAAAAACUACUUUAGCGCUUUAUCUUUGGUAGACUAAAAUUGCCGCCUUCAUUCUACUUGCUCGCACAGGUAAACCAAGAUAUCCUCUCAAAUCCAUCAACCAUGAUUUGAAUUACAACCAAAAUGGGCACUGAUCUUUUAGACAACACAUUUUGCCAAAUAAAAUGGAGCAUUUAUCUCGGUCCAAUAGUUGACCUUUCCCCUCCUCAUAAACCUAAAAAUUCUUCUAAUGGUCAGGGCUUGCUACAAAGAACCCUUGAAAAUAGGAGACUAUCAUAAAAAAACUGUGAGAAUGUCUGUGCAGCCGAAACUCCUAGAUAAUCCCUCUCACAUACGCAUCAUUAAGUAACAAUGGAAGGGCUUCAACCACAAAAGGAACAAGUAUGGAGAUAAAAUGAUUACUUUGCGAGUGACGAUGCAAAAGUUGAAAGAUUCUAACAGAUAGCCAUUAAAACACGCUAAAAAUUUCACUAAAACAACAUAAAUCAUAAUUCACUUAACCCAAACUAGAGCAAAACCAUAUGCUCUCACCAUACUUUCCAAGAAAUUCUAGUCCACACGGUCAUAUGCUUAGAGAGUUUCAACUUGCAUGCAGACUAUUUGUGUCGAAAAUCUUUCAAAAACCUCUAUGAUUGCAUACAUCCAAAGCAAUAAUAGCACUAUCUGAAAUUAAUCUUUCAAGAAUGAUAACACUUUGGGUAGGAAAAAUCAUACCAUCCAACAAAGGGCUCAGUCUAUUAACAAGACACUUGAAUAUAAUUAUAUAUAUGACAUCACAUAAAGUGAUUGGUAAAAAAUCUUUUUCGACCCAGGGUUCUCCACUUUAGGAAUAAGCACAAUAGUUGUAUUAUUUAUCCCUUCCAGCGUGCUUCCAGAAAUAAAGAACAAUUGAACAACAUGAAAAAUAUCUCCCUUGAGUAAACCCUAAUUCCUUUGAAAAAAAACAGCUAGAAAUCCAUCUGGCCUUGAAGCCUUCAACGAACCUAUUUGGAAGAGAGCAUCACUAAUCCCUUGUUGAGAAAAUGAUUUGCAAAGGUCCUCAUUCAUGGUAUGUGACUCUAUGGUAAACACAUCUCAUAUUAUUCCACGUGUGUAACCUUUGGUAAAUGAUUACAGAGAUUUUUGUGUAUGGGAUGGCGAGGUCGCGGUGAGGCGCUGAGCUGCUGCGGGGUUUGGCGGCGACAACAGGCGUGCAGGCGGCGACAGUGUCGUCAUAGGGCGACGCAGUGUGGGCUAGAGCUCGUCUGUGGUGUGGCGGUUGCGCGAGGGGGGGGGGCUCGUCCUCACGCGGAUGCGUGCAUGCUGGUUCCCGGCCAGAUCAGGCUCUAGGUAGCUCGCGGGAGGUGCGGGGUUGGCAGCGACUCAUUCGAUGGUGUCGCGACAUGAGCGGAUGGCGGCGACGUCUCUGUCUAUGUGGCAUUUGCGGGUGUUGGGCCUUGGGUGGAUGCGAGCACAGUUGGGUGGCCGGUCCUAACGACCUGACACGCGACACGGGAGACGGGUGGCGCACUGAUGGUUGCGUUGGUGGCCAGCCAGGUGUGGUACAUGGGAGGCAGGCCAGGACAUCGCCCCUGCGCCGAAUCUGGCAUGGUUUCGGGUGUAUGUGGGGGGACUUGAAGUGCCUUCGACUGGAGGUUGCUCGGUGUGGCUGUUGUGAUGGUCGGAGAGCGUGAUGGUGGUUCCUGGGAACGCGCAAGGAUGGUUGGUUGCACGUUGCUCUAGCCGUUUAUUCCCCUGGCUGCGGGUGUGUGGAAGUGGGUCACACGACUUCUUGGCGGAGCUAGACUGGGGCUGGAGGUGGUGGCUAGCUGGAGGUGGAUUGCGUGAGUGGCCUUUGGAGGCGGCCCCGACGACAAGAGUUGUCGGCUACCUACGACAUCCCUGUCUCGAUGUGAACGAUCAGAUCUGAUGGGGCAGUCUUCGCCCUCCUCGAUGGUGUUCUCCCAAAGUUGGUUGAGAGCGCCAUUGUCCCUUGGCCAUAUCUCACGAUGUCGAGUGGGGACCCAAGGUUGUUGGGGUGGCGUCUGAAAGUGCAUCAUUGCCCUGAAUUAUUUUUGACAUCUAUGACAAUUUCAUUUGUAUUUCUAAACACAUGCUCUAGUGUAAACAUCUCCGACAAAAGUAAAGAGAAGCAUGGAUAUGGUUAUUUCCCCUCUACUCGGAAAAAGGAAAAGUCAGAGUUCCAUGAAAGUUUUUCUUUCUUUCUUGAGUCCUUAGGGCAACUGCACUAUUAAGAGGGGAUGCAUCGUGAAAAUUAUCUAGGAAUCAACUCUUCAUAAAAACAAGUUCUCGAAAACCAAUUCUAAGAUCUGUCAAAAUUGACACUGCAAAGCCUCUGUCUUAGGUCAGAACUUCCGGGGCGGACGGAACUUCCCGGGACCAUAAGGCCCGAGGAGCUUCCGGGCCAACCAGAGAAACUGCCAGCCUCUGUGCAAUGUUUCUGUUUAGGCUGGAACCUUGCCAGACCCUGGCCGAAACUUCGAGGGAGGCCGGAACUUCUGUCCCGAUCCUGUCUGCUUUCGAGGGACUCCAACCGGGUGCAAUCAUUCUAUUCAAACCGGUACCUUCGCGGAGCCUGGUCGUAACUUCCGGGGUGCGGAACCUCCGGUCCCCCCGGAACUUCCGGGGUUGGCAGAAAUGUGGCCCCCAACGGCUGGAUUUCUUCCCCACCUAUAAAUAGCCUUCUCCUUCCCGAGGCACCGUAAAAACUCCAUUUUUCUCACUCCACCAUUUUCAAACCUCUAUUUCUUAGAGUUCCCCCUCCUUAGCCAACCAAAGCUCUUGAUGUUUUGAGGAGUGAAGGAGGAGUUCCUGAUCUACACAUUCACCAAAGAAAAAGUUGAUCCCCCUUGUUUUCAGGAUGCAUCUUGUAACUCUUGGAGGUUGGAGACUCUUAGGCGGUAGGAGUACUCCGACGAGGAAUCGUUCAUUGUGAUUACCCCCAAAAAGUUUGUGAGGGUUUGGAGACCACCCCAAGGUCUACCACUAGUGGUUGAGAAUCGCCUUCGUGGUGUUGUAUCAAAGAGAUAAUAGGGUGGGCCUUCCUAGCGUUGGUGUGCCUUUGUGGUAACAUCCACAUUUCUAAACGGUGACAUAGCUUCCCUCCAAUAAAUUGAACAUCGGUAUACAUCCUCGUCUCUAGGAGUUGUGGUUAUCUCUAACCCUAAUCCUCUACUUGUGGUUAUUUUUCUUUGUGAUAUUUCUUAUAUUACUUGUAUUACAUGUGCUUAACUCUUUAAUUAAUUGUUGUAUUGCUUAGUACGCGUAGCACGACUACCAUCUUUGCAAUUGUUAGGCUCACCUUCAUAUUCUGCAUUACUGCCUAAAAUUGCUAAGAAACAAUUAAAAAUUGUAAUCGUACCUAUUCACCCCCUCUAGGACCAUCUCGAUCCUUUCAAUUGGUAUCAGAGCCUCGUGCUCUAAUUUAGUGGCUUAACCGUCCUAGAUCGAGAUGGAUAAGGUUGGGAACCCGUUGCGUGCUCCUCCUCUUGAAGGAGAAGCUUCAUCCAUAUAUGAAGGGAGAUAUUUCACUUCUUAAGAUCUCGAACGGAUCCUCGCUAAGAAGAACGAGGAGCAUGAUGCUUCUAUUGAGGCUUUGGUAAAAGUGAGGUUGGAAGCAUUUGGUGCGAAAAUUACAUCACCGGAGAACCCAAUUCGUGUGUUAAAAUAAUCAAUUGCAUCCAUUCCUAAUUCGGGGCAACAACCUCCACCUCACAACAAUAUCGGUGUUCCUUGGCUAUAUGCUGAACCUAGAGUGGAGAAACCUAAGUAUAAUAUUUUGGGAAAUCCUCCUUUACUUGAUGACACUGCCGAUUUUUCUUUGUGGAGAGUUGGUAUGCAGGAUCAUCUUAGGUUUGCCAACGAUGAAAUGCCGGAGAUCUUGGAGAAAGGUUACAACCCUCUGAACCCCAAGGAUCUCACACCGAGUGAAGUAUAUGACAGACACCUCAAUGGCACCACGAUCAUGCUCAUAAGAAAAGGCAUGCGUGACAAGCAGAAAAGGCCUUACAUUCACGUAUCAAAUGCAAAAGAACUUUGGGAUAGCAUUAUGAUGACAAAGACGGGAACAUCCUCUCUUCGUCUUGCACAAUAUGAGAUAGCAAAAGGAGCAUUGCAAUACUUCUGCAUGUAGAAAGGAGAGACCCCAAGCAUCUUCUUGAAAGAUCGAUGACACUUGCUGUCGACAUAGAAUCAUAUGACUGUGACAAGAGUCGAGAUGGAUUCAAUCUGACGAAACGGUUUCUUGUGGAUAAAAUUCUAAAUGCUCUUGCCCCGUACCACCAUCAAAUGGUAUGGGACAUAAGGAGAGAACAUGGUUUUAAGGACAUAUCUCUUGAUGAUGUCAUCUCUGCCUUCCAACUAUUCCAAGAAUCAAAGGCCAAUGCUACAAGGCAUCUUGCCAUGCAUGGCUCCUCAUCACCCAAGACAAAUCUUGCGUUGAAGGCCAAACACGUGAAGGAUGACGAUGAUGUCAGUGAAGAAGAAGAGGAACAUGAAGAGGAAGGCUAUGAAGAUGAAUCAAAUGACGAGCUCUCAUAUGAAGACAUGGAUCUUUGUCAAGAAGUUUAGUGCUGGAAAAUUCAAGGGAAUAUUCCAAAAGAAGAAAGUAAGGACUUGUUACAAUUGUGAAUAAACCAACCACUUCUCAAACAAGUGUCCUUAUGAUAAGAGAGAAGACAAACCAAGAUUUCUGAAGACCUUUGUGAAGAAGAAGUUGCCUAACCCAUUAAAAUCCAAGUUCAGAAAAAGAGAUGGGAAGGCAAUGGUUUCUCAAGAUGAAUCCGGCCCCGAUGAUGUUGGGGGUGUUGUAGCAUAGCACAAGACACUCAAACCACAUUAAUACUGUUCAACAAAAGUUGUGAUGUUGUCACAUACAACUACAUGAAAGACUACAAAGGUAAUGCACACAAAUGCCUCAUGGCUCAAGAUGUGAUGGAAGAUGAUGAGGGACAGACAUCUUGAGACAAGGUGAAGGUAACUCCACGACCUAACCCUUCUCUAUUUUCCUCCAACACAUCUAGUGAUGAAUAUGUUGAUGCUCAGGAUCGUGAUCAUGAGACUGAAAUUAGUGAUGCUAUGUUUGCUAAAAUGAAGAAAGUCAUGUGCUCCCUCAAAGGAAAGAAGAUCAUUACGUUUCGUAUGCUUAUGGAGAUGGUGAGUAAGGACGCCACUUCCAUUAAGAACACAAAAACCUCGUUACCGAGGAAAAGGACAAAUGCGAAAUCCUUGAGCAGAAAGUCCUAUAUGAGGAAGCACAUAAUGACAAAUUGUGCUUAAAAAUAGGUGCAAACAUUGAUAAGAACACUGAAGAACUUGCCUCUUUAACAAAGACUGGAAAUGAUUAUGAAGUGUUAAAAAGAGACAAACGUAAGUUUGACGAGUCUCACUCCGCUCUUUCUAAAGAUUGUGAGCUCUUACAUUUGUCUCUCAAGACAAAGGAGGUAGAUCUCAACACUCUUACAAAGAAGUUUGACAAACUCAAGCUUACAUAUCUUAACAUUCUAGGCAAAGUUUACUCCUCUCCUGUUGUAAAUGUUGAUGCUUGUGCUACUAAUCCCAGUGGUGACCUAGCUAGUGUUCUUGAGGAGAACCGGUUGCUAAAAGCUCAAGUUGAAAAAGGGCUCAUGUCAUGUGCCCAAGGACAAAAGAACCUCAAUGAAGUGUUGAGUCAACACAAGGAGGUUGUGGCGAAAGAAGGGCUUGCAUUUUAUCCAAGCCGGAACAGGAAUGCAAUAACGAUACAUAAGUCCACUGCUCCUCUCGAGGAGAUAUUUGUUCGGAAAGGGCACAAGGAAGACAGAUUGGGAGACGUUGAGAAGGUUGCGAGUAGGAAGGCCACUAGGGGCCAGCCUGCUCCCAACAAGCCAAAAGAAUGCAUGCCUCCAUCAUAUGUGCUCCGUAAGGCAAAAGAUGGAGCUGUGUAUGCUAAAUUUUUUGCCCUCGAAAUGCUUUUCGAUUCUAUGCAAUUUGGGUGCCUAAGACCCUUGUUACUAACAUGAGGGGUCUGAUGUCUACUACACUACCUUCUCCUUGUAGACGUUGUUGGGCCUCCAAGUGCAGAGGCUUGUAGGACAGUAGCAAUUUUCCCUCAAGUGGGUGACCUAAGGUUUAUCAAUCCGCGGGAGGCGUAGGAUGAAGAUAGUCUCUCUCAAGCAACCCUGCAACCAAAUAACAAAGAGUCUCUUGUGUCCCCAACACACCUAAUACAAUGGUAAGUUGCAUAGGUGCACUAGUUCGGCGAAGAGAUGGUGAUACAAGUGCAAUAUGGAUGGUAGAUAUAGGUUUUUGUAAUCUGAAAUUACAAAAACAGGAAGGUAACUAGUAAAAAAAGUGAGCACGAACGGUAUUGCAAUGCGUGGAAACAAGGCCUAGGGUCCAUACUUUCACUAGUGAAGUUUUCUCAACAAUAAUAACAUAAUUGGAUCAUAUAAAUAGCCCUCAACAUGCAACAAAGAGUCACUCCAAAGUCACUAAUAGCGGAGAACAAACGAAGAGAUUAUUGUCUGGUACGAAACCACCACAAAGUUAUUCUUUCUGAUCGAUCUAUUCAAGAGUCCGUAGUAAAAUAACACGAAGCUAUUCUUUCCGUUCGAUCCAUCAUAGAGUUCGUACUAGAAUAACACCUUAAGAUACAUAUCAACCAAGACCCUAAUGUCACCUAGAUACUCCAUUAUCACCUGAAGUAUCUGUGGGCAUGAUUAUACAUAUGCAUCACAUCAUCUCAGAAUCAUCUAUUCAACCAACACAUAGAACUUCAAAGAGUGCCCCAAAGUUUCUACCGGGGAGUCAAAACGUGUGCCAACCCCUAUGCAUAGGUUCCCAAUGUCACGAACCCGCAAGUUGAUCAACAAAACAUACAUCAAGUACUCACAUGAAUCAAACGUGUGCCAACCCAUAUGCAUAGGUUCCAAAUGUCACAAACCCGCAAGUUGAUCACAUCAGAUAGACACGUGAAAGACAUACAUCAAGUGUUCUCAAAGACUCAAUCCGAUAAGAUAACUCCAAAGGGGAAACUCAAUUCAUUACAAGAGGGAGAGGGGGAAGAACAUCAUAAGAUCCAACUAUAGUAGCAAAGCCCAUGGUACAUCGAGAUCAAGAUAUCCCAAGAACACGAGAGAGAGAGAGAGAUCAAACACAUAGCUACUGGUACAUACCCUCAACCCUGAGGGAGAACUACUCCCUCCUCUUCAUGGAGAUUGUCGGGAUGAUGAAGAUGGCCACCGGAGAUUGAUCCCCCCUCUGGCAGGGUGCCGGAACGGGCUCCAGAUUGGUUUUUGGUGGCUACGGAGGCUUGCAGCGGCGGAACUCCCGAUCUAGGUUUCUUUUUGUGGGUUUCUGAAUUUACAGGAAUUUAUGGCGGUGGAAUUAUGUCGGUUGGGCCCACGAGGAGGUCACAAGCCUGGUUGCCACAACCUAGGGGGUGGUGGCGGCGUCAGGGCUUGUGACUCCCUCGUGGCUCUUCUGGCCUUCUUUCAAAGCUUCGGGGGUCUCUUUUGGUCCAAAAAAAUCAUCGUAAAGUUUCAUUCCAUUUGGACUCCGUCUAAAAAUGGGCCAAAAACACGAAAAAAACAGAAACUGGCACUUGGCACUGAGUUAAUAGGUUAGUCCCAAAAAAUAUAUAAAAUAGCAUAUUCAUGCAUAUAAACAAUCCAAAGUUGACAAGAUAAUAGCAUGGAACCAUAAAAAAUUAUAGAUACGUUGGAGACGUAUCAAGCAUCCCCAAGCUUAACUCCUGCUCGUCCUCAAGUAGGGAAGUGAUAAAGAAUGAAUUUUUGAUGCUUUCAUGCUACCUAGCAUAGAUGUCCUUUGUAACUCCUCUUAUGUGACAUGAAUGUUCAGAUCCGUUAGAUUCAAAACAAUAGUUUGCUAUUGACGUGGAAACAAUAAUUAUUGAAGCAAACUAGCAAGGUAAUCAUGAACUUUCGAAAUAACAAGGCCAAAAGAAAGUUAUCCCUACAAAAGCAUAUAGUCUGGCUAUGCUCUAUCAUCAUUGCACAACGAAUUUAAAUCUUGCACAACCCCGUUAUUGGCCAAGUAAUUGUUUCACGCCUUUACUUUCUCAAACCUUUUCAACUCUCACGCAAUACAUGAGCGUGAGCCAUGGUUUUAGCACUAUAGAUGGUGUGGAGUGUGGUGGAGGUUGCAAGACAAAAAAGGAGAAGAUAAUCACAUUAACUAGGCAUAGCAAUGAGCUGUGGAAAUGCUCAUCAAUAGAUAUCAAUGUAAAUGAGUAGGGAUUGCCAUACAAAUGAUGCACUAGAGCUAAGAGUAUGUGAAAGCUCUUUAAAGAAAACUAGUGGGUGUGCAUCCAACUUGCUUGCUCACGAAGACCUAAGGCAAUUUUGAGGAAGCCUAUCAUUGGAAUAUACAAGCCAAGUUAUAUAAUGAAAAUUUCCCACUAGCUAUAUGGUGGUGACAAAACGAGAUACUCUCAAUCAUGAAGAUCAUGGUGCUUAAUAUCCACAAGUGUGGAAAAGUGGUAGCAUUGUCCCUUCUCUCUUUUUCUCUCAUAUAUAUUUUUUGGUGGGCUCUUUGGCCUCUUUAUUAUUAUUCCCCCCCCUUUAUUUUGGUGGGCAUCUUUGGCCUAUUUUAUUUCCUCACAUGGGACAAUGCUCCAUCAAUGAUGAUCAUCACACUUUCAACACAAAACUUAGAGCAACGAUGACUCCAUAUGGAAUGCCUUCGGUAGUGUACCGUGACAAUGAUCUAGCAUGGCAUAGACAUUAAAUGAAACAUCAUGCUAGCUAUCUUAAGAUCAUGCAAUGGAAAUUUAGAUGUGGUGGCACAUGUCAUGGUGGUAUUUGCAUGGAAAUAUAUCUUGGAAUGACUUUGAAAAAUCCAUAGUAGGUAGGUAUGGUGGCUGUUUUGAGGGAGGCUAAUGGUGGGUUUUGUGCACCGGCGAAAGUUGCACGACACUAAGAAGAUAGUGAUGGUGGUAAGUGAAAGUGCAUCUAAACCAUGGACUCAACAUUAAUCAUGAAGAACUCAUAUACUUGUUGCAAAAGUUUUAUUAGUAAUCGAAACAAAGCAUACAACGCAUACUCCUAGGGGAAGGGUUGGUAGGUAUAAACCAUCGCGCGAUCCCAACCGCCACGCAAAGGAUGACAAUCAAUAUACUAAUCAUGCUCAGAUUUCAUCACAUAGCGGUUCACCAUACGUGCAUGCUACGGGAAUCACUAACUUCAACACAAGUAUUUCUAGAUCCACAACACCUUACUAGCAUGACUUUAAUAUUACCAUAACCACAACUCAAAACUAAUUGAGAUGAAUCAAACUCCUCUAACUAUUCAAUGCACAUGAAGGUGGAAGUUUUCGUAUCCCUUUUUAUAACUACCCAUUUUGAGGCUACUUUCAAAGCAUAGAUCAACUACCAAGCCACGCACCGCUGCGCUCUAAAAGAUAUAAGCGAAGUACAUAGAGCAAAAGUAUCUAGCUCAAAAGAUAUAAGUGAAGCACAUGUGAGUUGAAUUGUCUACCACAAGAUAUAAGUGAAGCUCGACAAAAUCAUGGUGUGUGCAUGUCUCUCUCUCUAGGUGUGCAGCAAGGAUGAUUGUGACACAACAAAAAUCAAAGACUCCUACGAUACAAGAUGCUCCAAGCAAAAACACAUAACAUGUGGCGAAUAAAAAUAUAGCACCAAGUAAUGUUAUCGACGGAUUGAAGACGAGAGAGGGGAUGCCUUCCCGGGGCAUCCCCAAGAUUAGGCUUUUUCGGCAUCCUUGAAUCAAAUUGGGGUGCCUUGGGCAUCCCCAAGCUUGAGCUCUUGCCAAUCUUUAUCUCUUUGUCCAUAAGAACUUCACCCAGAACUUGAAAACUUCACAACACAAAACUUAAACAGAAACUCGUGAUAUCAUUAGUAUAAGAAAGAAAAUCACCACUUCCUUAGGUACUGUAGCAAACUUAAAUUCUACUUAUGUUGGUGUUGGGUUGCUAUAUUUUCACUUUUCCAUGGCUAGUACCCUCCGAUACUAUCCAUAAUUUCAUCAAAAUAAGCAACCAACUCAACAAAAAAACAGAAUCUGUUAACAACAGACCAGUCUGUAGCAAUAUGUAUACUUCGUAUACUUCUGGUACGUCAAAAACUCUGAAAAAUUACUACAGUCUGAAGAAAUUGCAUAGAAAUCAGCAGCAAAAAGAAUCAACUCAAAAUCUCUUACAGAAUAAAAAUGAAAAUUCUUUUCGUGAGCAGAAAGUUUCUGUCUUUUUCCAGCAUGAUCAAACAAUCAUCACCAAGACUAAUCAUAACGGUUUUGCUUGGCACAAACACAAAAAGAAACACAAAAUACACAAUCAUAACAGAAUUAUGAUGGUGUGGAGAAAACAAAACAGGAACCAAAAAGCAAAGAAAAAUUUAUUCAUUGGGUUGCCUCCCAACAAGCGCUAUCGUUUAACGCCCUUAGCUAGGCAUUGAUUUCAAUGAUGCUCACAUAAAAGGUAAGGAUUGAAACACAACGAGAGCAUCAUGGAGCAAAUGGCUAGCACAUUUAAGUCUAACCCACUUCCUGGAUUUUGUGAUCAAACAAUUUAUUGGAGCAAUAAUCAACUAGCAUAGGAAGGCAAAACAAGCAUAGCUUCAAACAUUUCAACAUAUGGAGAGGAAGCUUGAUACUAUUGCAAUAAGUAGAAGCAUAUGAUCCUCUCUCAUAGUAAUUUUUAGUAACAUCAUGAAUGAAUUCAACAAUAUAACCAGCACCUAAAGCAUUCUUUUCAUGAUCUACAAGCAUAGAAAUUUUACUACUCUCCACAUAAGGAAAUCUUUUCUCAAGAAUAGUAGUGGGAUUAUCGUAAAAGACUUGAGCACUACAAAUUGUGUCCACUAUGAAAAAGCAAGGUUUAGCAAAGGGGUUUUAGAAAGUAUGACAAGUUUUAUCAUCCCUCUUCUUCAAAGCAUAAGUAUUCUCACAAUAAUCAUCAAAGAUAGGGGGCAUUCUUUCAUCAAAAUAAUUUUGAUCAUUCAAAGUGGAAGAACUAAAAAUAUCAUCUUCAUCAAAUAUAGCAUCCCCAAGCUCGUGGCUUUGCAUAUCAUUAGCAUCAUGGGUAUUCAAAGAAUUCAUGCUAAAAACAUUGCAAUCAUGCUCAUCCUUCACAUAUUCUAUGCCAAGCAUUCUAUGUAAUUCUUCUUUCAGCACUUGAGCACUAUUUUCCUUCCCAUAAUGCUCACGAAAGACAUUGAAAAGAUGGAGCAUAUGAGGCAUCCUCAAUUCCAUUUUUUUGUAGUUUUCUAGCUAAAGAACAAGAAACAAAAAGAUUCGAUUGCAAGAUCUAAAGAUAUACCUUCAAGCGCUAACCUCCCUGGCAACGGCGCCAGAAAAGAGCUUGAUGUCUACUACGCAACCUUCUCCUUGUAGACGUUCUUGGGCCUCCAAGUGUAGAGGGUUGUAGGACAGUAGCAAUUUUCCCUCAAGUGGGUGACCUAAGGUUUAUAAAUCCAUGGGAGGCGUAGGAUGAAGAUGAUCUCUCUCAAGCAACCCUGCAACCAAAUAACAAAGAGUCUCUUGUGUCCCCAACACACCUAAUACAAUGGUAAGUUGUAUAGGUGCACUAGUUCGGCGAAGAGAUGGUGAUACAAGUGCAAUAUGGAUGGUGGAUAUAGGUUUUUGUAAUCUGAAGUUACAAAAACAGCAAGGUAACUAGUAACAAAAGUGAGCACGAACGGUAUUGCAAUGUGUGGAAACAAGGCCUAGGGUUCAUACUUUCACUAGUGAAGUUCUCUUAACAAUGAUAACAUAAUUGGAUCAUAUAACUAGCCCUCAACAUGCAACAAAGAGUCACUCCAAAGUCACUAAUAGCGGAGACCAAACGAAGAGAUUAUUGUCGGGUAUGAAACCACCACAAAGUUAUUCUUUCUUAUCGAUAUAUUUAAGAGUCUGUAGUAAAAUAACACGAAGCUAUUCUUUCCGUUCGAUCCAUCAUAGAGUUCGUACUAGAAUAACACCUUAAGAUACAUAUCAACCAAGACCCUAAUGUCACCUAGAUACUCCAUUGUCACCUCAAGUAUCCGUGGGCAUGAUUAUACGAUAUGCAUCACAUAAUCUCACAAUCAUCUAUUCAACCAACACAUAGAACUUCAAAGAGUGCCCCAAAGUUUCUACCAGAGAGUCAAAACGUGUGCCAACCCCUAUGCAUAGGUUCCCAAUGUCACAAACCCGCAAGUUGAUCACCAAAACAUACAUCGAGUACUCAGAUGAAUCAAACGUGUGCCAACCCANNNNNNNNNNNNNNNNNNNNNNNNNNNNNNNNNNNNNNNNNNNNNNNNNNNNNNNNNNNNNNNNNNNNNNNNNNNNNNNNNNNNNNNNNNNNNNNNNNNNCAAAGAAGAUUACAUCGGAUAGAUCUCCAUGAAGAUCAUGGAGAACUUUGUAUUGAAGAUCCAAGAGAGAGAAUAAGCCAUCUAGCUAAUAACUACGGACCCAUAGGUCUGAAGUGAACUACUCACGAGUCAUUGGAGGGGCGAUGAUGAUGAUGAAGAAGCCCUCCGACUCCAAAGUCCCCUCUGGCAGGGCGCCGGGAAGGGUCUCCAGAUGAGAUCUCGCGGAAACGGAAGCUUGCGGUAGCGGAAAAGUAUUUUCGAGGCUCCCCUGAUUUUUUGCGGAAUAUUUGGGAAUUUAUAGGCCAAAGAUCUAGGUCAGGGGGCGGCCAGGGAGGCCACAAGCCUGCCCACCGCCGCCUCCCCCCUGGUGGCGGAGUGGGGGCUUGUGGGCUCCCUGGAGCCCACCUGGCUUGGCCCAAAAGCCCCCGGGACUUCUUCCGUUCGGGAAAAAAUCAUUUUGGGUUUUUUCUUCCGUUUGGACUCCGUUCCAAAAUCAGAUCUGAAAAAAGUCAAAAACACGGAAAAAACAGGAACUGGCACUUGGCACUGAAUUAAUAAGUUAGUCCCAAAAAGAUAUAAAAAGGUACGUAAAACAUACAAAGAAGGCAAGAUAACAGAGUGAAACCAUCAAAAAUUAUAGAUACGUUUGAGACGUAUCAAUGACUUCAACAAACAAACAAGCACACAAGCAAGCAAGAAAACCGGCAAAGGAAAAUGGCAAAGGGCAAAAGAAAGCGGCAAAGGAAAACGACAAAAAGGCAAAAGAAAAAGGCAACGGAGAAAGGCAAAUGAAAAUGGCAAAUGUGAAGUGGGGGAGAGGAAAACGAGAGGCAACUGGCAAAAAAAGUAAAUGCAAGAGAUGAGUUUGUGAGACCUACUUGGAUAGAUCUCUCCUUCCCCGGCAACGGCGCCAGAAAUACUUCUGCUACUGCAACAAAAGACCUUCCAACGGCCCCAGAAACAAGCGUGCUGACGGAAGACUAUUCUUGUCUUGAUACUCCUCAGCAACGGCACCAGGAAUCCUUUUGCUACGGCUACGCCUUUAGGGACUUCCUUGGCAAAUAUGCAAAGGAUUCCCCCGUGGCCUUGGAGCCUUGCGUUGGUGUUCCCUCGAAGCGGAAAGGGUGAUAUNNNNNNNNNNNNNNNNNNNNNNNNNNNNNNNNNNNNNNNNNNNNNNNNNNNNNNNNNNNNNNNNNNNNNNNNNNNNNNNNNNNNNNNNNNNNNNNNNNNNACCCGUACCCGUAGCCGCCACCGUCGGCGCCCCAGGGCAGGAUCUUCCAGCUCUGGUUCUCGCCCUUGCAGAACUCCCAGAGGACGACGGCGGUGCCGUCGUGCACCCCGCCGUGGGGCUUGUCGCCGUGGAGGGCGUCGAAGCUGAGGCUGAGGUUGUUGACCAUGCGGAUGCAGCGGAAGCCCUUGCCGACGUCGUUGCUCUCCGUCCACAGCACCGACUCGUCCUCGAACGCCGGGUUGUAGGGGAUGAGCUUGACGGGGUGGGACUGGCCGAGCGAGUGCUUCACGGCCAGCCCCGUGGCCUUGUUCACCAGCGCGAACGCCGGGUGCCCCUCCGCGUCGCUCACCCUC
rnacentral:lncRNA from 1 species